rnacentral:misc_RNA from 1 species
CCGAGUUUACAACUCCCAAACCCCUGUGAACAUACCACUUGUUUGCCUCGGCGGAUCAGCCCGCUCCCGGUAAAACGGGACGGCCCGCCAGAGACCCUCUAAACUCUGUUUCUAUAUGUAACUUCUGAGUAAAACCAUAAAUAAAUCA